rnacentral:tRNA from 1 species
GGGGUCGUAGCUCAGUUGGUAGAGCACCACAAUGGCAUUGUGGGGGUCAGGGGUUCAAAUCCCCUCGGCUCCACCA